CCGGCCCGGCCUGCAGCCGUCCCACAAGGAGCGUCCCGUCCCGCCCCGCCGCUGUCCCGCGCUCCGGAAAGGCCGCGCUGAGGGGUUCCUUAGUUCGGGGCCGACUGGGAACUGCUGGGAGAGCCCCGCGGAGGGCUGGAGCAGCUCCUGAUGGGACAGGCUGAGAGCCCCGGGGCUGUGCGCCUAAAGGAGAGAAGGCUGAGGGGUCUGAGCAGCGCUGACCCACACCUGAAGGGCGGGGGAUGGGGCCAAACCCACCUGGACACUGUGCAGCUGCUGUAGGGACUGCUGCGGGUCGGGCUGGGAGAGAUCCAGAGGGCCCUUCCAGCAACCACGUUGUGGGAUUCUGGCGCCUCGAGUGGUAUGUGUGCAAUUCUGGGCCCCUCAGUGCAGAAAAGACAUGGAGGCCCUGGAGUGUGUGUCCAGAGACAGACAGCAGAGCUGGGCAGACCCUGGAGUGCAGUCCUGUUGUGAAUGGCUCAAGGAAUAGGGAUGGUUCAGUCUGAAGGAAGCUCCGAGAAGACCUCAUAGCUCCCUACAACUCCUGAAAGGAGGUUGGAGAGAGGAAGGGUCAGCUUCUGCUCCCAGAUCAAAAUAUUACCUCCUGAGCCUGUGUGCACGUGGCUUGGUUGCUGGGACACCUGCCAGCCAGGAAUUGGGGAUGCCUGGAAUCAUGUGCUCAGCAGGAAAAUGUCUUCGUGAGGGGAGAAAGGCAGUAAUCACAGAGAAGUUGAAAGGAAGUGACAGAGGCAGAAGCGGGACCUCUGCUGAUGUUUCUUCCAGCAGGAUGCAUAGUAGGUCCCACCAGUGGGAAAUAAAAGCACUGAGUCACAGCUCUGAUUCAACAUGGAGCAGCACUCCCAUUGCUGGCUGUGGCUGUCAGGUAUCACUCGGAAGUACAAGUGUAUUGCCUCUUACCAGAUCUGCCAUCUACCACCUGAACCAGGGCUGUGCUGCUGUAUUGCUAGUGUUUAAAUGUUUCUCCCCUUGCACCCAGCAGAUUAAAGCUCUGUCAUGUUUGUGUGUCUGUAUGUGUGUCUGAAAAGAGAAAGAGGCUCAUUUUUUCUAUUAAAACGGAAGUAAUGUGUUAUCAUCAUAAUUAUGUCUUAUUGUUUGCUACUGUGUAAAGAUAACAAAUCAGGACUGAGUCACAGGAGCAAAUGCAAAAAUUACAUUUUUAUAAGAAUAAGGUCACAGGCCACAUGAUUUGUUGCGGAACAAAUGCAGUAAUUAAUUGGCCUCUCCCUGCAAUGGUAGAACAGGCAUCUUAACUACAGAAGAACCAGGAAAUGGAAAGCAGCAGUGUGCAGGAGUGCAGGAGGACCAUUGGUAUUAUUCUGGGGCUUACAGUGAGCUCUAAUAAGAAAUAAAAAUGUCAUUGGUAGGUCAUUGGUGGAGAGAGAAGAAAGGCAAUAUCUUUAGAAUUGCUGCUUUGACAAUACCAGUGUAUAUUUUCUGUUGUUUAAAGAUUUUUAUUGUGGGAAAUGUGGAAAAAAAUAUAUUUUAAAUAAUUAUUUUAGGUUUAUUUUUUCUUUACAUAUUCCAUAUGGAGAGAUUACAUGUAGGGUAUGGAACAGAGAAAGCUUUUUGGAAUUUGUGCUAUUUUUUUUAUUUCUCUGAGGCAGUGAUAGACCAGAACCAGCCCAAUGAAUGCAUACACGUGCCUUUUGUACAGACAUUUUCUUCACUGCAUUGAUUAGGGAAAAAUCUUAGAAAACCUAUCCAAGGGCAUAUACAGUCACCUUCAAAGCCUUACCCCGUCAUCAAUGAAGAAAUGCAGGAUUGGACUCUCCUGUCCUCUUCUAAUGCCCACUUCACUAGCACUGCUUGGUCGAUGGUUUUGGCUCAUUGCCAUGUGAAUCCUGUCUGGCACAGACAUUUUCAGGGUGUCCACAGAUUGUAAGGGACUGAUGCAGUUCACUAG
ensembl:lncRNA